AAAGAAAAAGGAAAAGGGAAAAGGAAUGGGAAAAGAUGGCAACUUGCAUUCUCUCGUCGUUCUUUGUUCUUUCUUGUUGCUGUCCUCCUUUCUCUUUCUUCCACUC
rnacentral:ribozyme from 14 species